CCGCGAUUACGCUGGAUGUCCAUAAGAAAGCAUUGUGUAAUGCUUUCCUAUAGGUGGUUUGCCGUGCAUGCGCAUUCGGAGCCAAGAGGCGGGACGGAGAGGUCCCCAGUGCCAAGGGAGCCCGGCGCUGGAGAAAGGUAAGUGCUGAAGGGGUUUUAACCACACACACACUCUCUCAUGAACAGACACAUACACACUAGCUAACUGACACACACAUUUACUGACAGACACACACACACAUACACACUCACUUACAAAACAUACACUCUCACUGACAAACACAUAGUCACUAACAGACACACACUAACAGACACACACUGACACACACAAACACAGUAACACACACACACACACAC